CUUACACUUUUUUGUAAGUCGCUUUGGAUAAAAGCGUCUGCUAAAUGACACACA
rfam:Larimichthys crocea isolate SSNF unplaced genomic scaffold scaffold291, whole genome shotgun sequence.